rnacentral:rRNA from 1 species
AUUGAACGCUGGCGGCAUGCUUUACGCAUGCAAGUCGAACGGCAGCGCGGGCUUCGGCCUGGCGGCGAGUGGCGAACGGGUGAGUAAUGCAUCGGAACGUGCCCAGUAGUGGGGGAUAGCCCGGCGAAAGCCGGAUUAAUACCGCAUACGACCUGAGGGUGAAAGCGGGGGACCGAAAGGCCUCGCGCUAUUGGAGCGGCCGAUGUCGGAUUAGCUAGUUGGUGGGGUAAAGGCUUACCAAGGCGACGAUCCGUAGCUGGUCUGAGAGGACGACCAGCCACACUGGGACUGAGACACGGCCCAGACUCCUACGGGAGGCAGCAGUGGGGAAUUUUGGACAAAGGGGGCAACCCUGAUCCAGCCAUGCCGCGUGCGGGAAGAAGGCCUUCGGGUUGUAAACCGCUUUUGUUCGGGAAGAAAUCCUCUGGGCUAAUACCCCGGGGGGAUGACGGUACCGGAAGAAUAAGCACCGGCUAACUACGUG